rnacentral:rRNA from 1 species
UGGGGAAUAUUGGGCAAUGGGGGCAACCCUGACCCAGCGACGCCGCGGGAGGGAAGAAGGCCUUAGGGUCGUAAACCUCUGUUGUGUGGGAAGAAGGAAGUGACGGUACCACACGAGGAAGUCCCGGCUAACUACGUGCCAGCAGCCGCGGUAAUACGUAGGGGACGAGCGUUGUCCGGAAUUACUGGGCGUAAAGGGCGCGUAGGCGGUCAUUUAAGUCAGCUGUGAAAUGGUCCGGCUCAACCGGAUCAUGCGGUUGAAACUGGAUGACUGGAGUGCUGGAGAGGCAAGUGGAAUUCCCAGUGUAGCGGUGAAAUGCGUAGAUAUUGGGAGGAACACCGGUGGCGAAGGCGACUUGCUGGCCAGCAACUGACGCUGAGGCGCGAAAGCCAGGGGAGCAAACG